AAAAAGCCCUGGAUAUGAUGGUAUAAGCUCACAGGUAAUCAAAGCGAUUGCUCCAGAAAUUUCUGAACCACUUUCACACAUAUUUAACUUGACUUUUCUUUCUGGAACUAUUCCUGAUGAUCUAAAAAUAGCUCUAGUUACCCCUAUUUUCAAAGCAAACGAAAACAAUGAAUUUAAGAAUUAUCGGCCUAUAUCUGUUCUCACUUGUUUUUCUAAAUUAUUGGAAAAGCUUAUGUAUAAGAGGUUAAUUAGCCACAUAGAAAAAAAUAAAAUAUUAACACAAAAUCAGUAUGGUUUUAGGGAAAAUAGAUCUACUGAACUUGCAAUCAUUGAACUUGUUGACAAAAUCACCCAAGCAAUCGAUGAAGGAGAAUACACAAUAGGUAUCUUCCUCGACUUGUCAAAAGCCUUUGACACAAUUAAUCACAAGAUUCUGAUUCAAAAACUAGAACACUAUGGUAUACGUGGAAUAACAAGACAGUGGUUUGAAGAUUACUUAAAAAACAGAAAACAGAUUGUUAAAUAUAACCAAGUUAAAUCAAAAGCAAUGAUAAUUAAAAGUGGUGUCCCACAGGGAUCAAUUCUUGGACCAAUUUUAUUUCUUCUCUAUAUCAAUGAUAUUGAAAAUUGUAGCAAAUUAAUUUCAUUUAUAUUAUUUGCAGAUGACACUAAUAUAUUCUAUAGUAACAAGUGUCUAAAAACACUUAAUAAGAUUAUGCAAAUUGAAAUUGAUAAAGUUGCUGAAUGGUUAAAUGCGAAUAAGUUAUCUCUAAAUACUACAAAAACAAA